UGGAUCCAGACUUUGAUCAUGGCUCAGGAUGAACGCUAGCUACAGGCUUAACACAUGCAAGUCGAGGGGAAACGACAUCGAAAGCUUGCUUUUGAUGGGCGUCGACCGGCGCACGGGUGAGUAACGCGUAUCCAACCUGCCCACCACUUGGGGAUAACCUUGCGAAAGUAAGACUAAUACCCAAUGACGUCUCUAGAAGACAUCUGAAAGAGAUUAAAGAUUUAUCGGUGAUGGAUGGGGAUGCGUCUGAUUAGCUUGUUGGCGGGGUAACGGCCCACCAAGGCGACGAUCAGUAGGGGUUCUGAGAGGAAGGUCCCCCACAUUGGAACUGAGACACGGUCCAAACUCCUACGGGAGGCAGCAGUGAGGAAUAUUGGUCAAUGGACGAGAGUCUGAACCAGCCAAGUAGCGUGCAGGAAGACGGCCCUAUGGGUUGUAAACUGCUUUUAUAAGGGAAUAAAGUGGGGCUCGUGAGCUCCUUUGCAUGUACCUUAUGAAUAAGGACCGGCUAAUUCCGUGCCAGCAGCCGCGGUAAUACGGAAGGUCCGGGCGUUAUCCGGAUUUAUUGGGUUUAAAGGGAGCGUAGGCCGCAGGUUAAGCGUGUUGUGAAAUGUAGGGGCUCAACCUCUGCACUGCAGCGCGAACUGGCUUGCUUGAGUACGCACAACGUGGGCGGAAUUCGUGGUGUAGCGGUGAAAUGCUUAGAUAUCACGAAGAACUCCGAUUGCGAAGGCAGCUCACGGGAGCGCAACUGACGCUGAAGCUCGAAAGUGCGGGUAUCGAACAGGAUUAGAUACCCUGGUAGUCCGCACGGUAAACGAUGGAUGCCCGCUGUUGGUCUGAAUAGGUCAGCGGCCAAGCGAAAGCAUUAAGCAUCCCACCUGGGGAGUACGCCGGCAACGGUGCAACUCAAAUGAAUUGACGGA
rnacentral:rRNA from 1 species